AUGCCCAAAAUCCAUUUCUCCUCAGGAAACCCUGCUGAGCCAUCUCCUUGUGCUUUCUGGACUAAGGGAAGAUGUGGGGCCUUGGUGCAUUGGGAAGAGCUCCCUGGUUCCAUAAACCAUUUUCUGCACACUUUGGCAUUUCUCCCCAUGCCUGAUGGCCUGGGGGCUGAGGACCUGACUCCACAAAGUCUCCAUCCAGAUCACCAACCUGCACCCAGAGGCAGGAACCCCAGGUGGGGCAGGACCUGGCAUGGGCUCAGCCUGCCUGGGGGUAUCCCAGAGGAGAGCCUGCCACGCAGAGCAGCAGCUCCUCAGGCCAGCAGAAAUCCACAUGCCUGCUCACAAGUGCCCAGUUCCAGAGCAAAAUGGAAAAUUGGACAGAAAAGAAUCCUCUGGAGCACAUCCCAUGCUGAGGGUGGUAAGCCAUGAAACAUUCACUGCAGUUGCUUCUGUGCUGGUGUGAGCUGCUGUGCUGCUCCUCUCACCAUUGUCCCCAGCUGCAUUUUCCUCUUUCAUACUUCUGAAUAUUUUAAUGACAGUCUCAAAGUGCUGGGACUGAUCCUCUUCCCACAUUAGCAUCAGUCCAGGAUAACUUCAUCACCUGGAACAAGCCCUGGUGCAUGGGCAUGCAAGAGGAGCAUGAAUGGCAGGAUUCAAGUACUGAUCCCUUUUAUAACAGAAAAUCCAUUUUCAGGACUUUUCCUAAUCUUCUUUUAACUGGACUCUCCACUUGCUGAACUGAGGAGUUCCCACUGAGUUCAAACCCUUCCCUAAAAUAUUCCUUGAGAUGGUUCCAGGUAACAGGACUUUAUGUAUCAGAGCAUGAUGUCACAUCAAACACGGCAUCCAUCUGAAGAUUACCUCUUGUGCAGAGUGAGGCUGGGCUCCACUCCAUUGCACAAUUUUGGAACAAACUUUCAGCCCUUUCUCAAGUGGAAAAUCUCUGUGGGAUGCAGUUAUCUUGCAGAAUAAAGGCUGUUUUCUCUCUCUGAUUCA
rnacentral:lncRNA from 1 species